GUUGGAGCUAGGGUUAGGGUUGGGCUUGGAGCUAGGAUUUUUCUGAGUGCAAUGAACCAACCCCCGAGUCUCUAGGACGUCCCAAAAAAAAUUUGAUUUUUUCCCAUAGGAAUGCAUGGGUUAGGGUUAUGGUAAGGGUUAGGGUUGGAGCUAGGGUUAGGGUUAGGGUUAGGGUUGGAGUUAGGGUUAGUGUUGGAGCUAGGGUUAGGGUUGGGCUUGGAGCUAGGAUUUUUCUGAGUGCAAUGAACCAACUCCCGAGUCUCUAGGACAUUCCUAAAAAAAUUUGAUUUUUUCCCAUAGGAAUGCAUGGGUUAGGGUUAGGGUUAGGGUUGGAGCUAGGGUUAGGGUUAGGGUUAGGGUUGGAGUUAGGGUUAGUGUUGGAGCUAGGGUUAGGGUUGGGCUUGGAGCUAGGAUUUUUCUGAGUGCAAUGAACCAACUCCCGAGUCUCUUGGACGUUCCUAAAAAAAUUUGAUUUUUUCCCAUAGGAAUGCAUGGGUUAGGGUUAGGGUUAGGGUUGGAGCUAGGGUUAGGGUUAGGGUUAGGGUUGGAGUUAGGGUUAGUGUUGGAGCUAGGGUUAGGGUUGGGCUUGGAGCUAGGAUUUUUCUGAGUGCACUGAACCAACUCCCGAGUCUCUAGGACAUUCCUAAAAAAAUUUGAUUUUUUCCCAUAGGAAUGCAUGGGUUAGGGUUAUGGUUAGGGUUAGGGUUGGAGCUAGGGUUAGGGUUAGGGUUAGGGUUGGAGUUAGGGUUAGUGUUGGAGCUAGGGUUAGGGUUGGGCUUGGAGCUAGGAUUUUUCUGAGUGCAAUGAACCAACUCCCGAGUCUCUUGGACGUUCCUAAAAAAAUUUGAUUUUUUUCCAUAGGAAUGCAUGGGUUAGGGUUAGGGUUAGGGUUGGAGCUAGGGUUAGGGUUAGGGUUAGGGUUGGAGUUAGGGUUAGUGUUGGAGCUAGGGUUAGGGUUGGGCUUGGAGCUAGGAUUUUUCUGAGUGCACUGAACCAACUCCCGAGUCUCUAGGACAUUCCUAAAAAAAUUUGAUUUUUUCCCAUAGGAAUGCAUGGGUUAGGGUUAGGGUUAGGGUUGGAGCUAGGGUUAGGGUUAGGGUUAGGGUUGGAGUUAGGGUUAGUGUUGGAGCUAGGGUUAGGGUUGGGCUUGGAGCUAGGAUUUUUCUGAGUGCACUGAACCAACUCUCGAGUCUCUAGGACAUUCCUAAAAAAAUUUGAUUUUUUCCCAUAGGAAUGCAUGGGUUAGGGUUAGGGUUAGUGUUGGAGCUAGGGUUAGGGUUGGGCUUGGAGCUAGGAUUUUUCUGAGUGCAAUGAACCAACUCCCGAGUCUCUAGGACGUUCCUAAAAAAAUUUGAUUUUUUCCCAUAGGAAUGCAUGGGUUAGGGUUAGGGUUAGGGUUGGAGCUAGGGUUAGGGUUAGGGUUAGGGUUCGAGUUAAGGUUAGUGUUGGAGCUAGGGUUAGGGUUGGGCUUGGAGCUAGGAUUUUUCUGAGUGCAAUGAACCAACUCCCGAGUCUCUAGGACGUUCCUAAAAAAAUUUGAUUUUUUCCCAUAGGAAUGCAUGGGUUAGGGUUAUGGUUAGGGUUAGGGUUGGAGCUAGGGUUAGGGUUAGGGUUAGGGUUGGAGUAAGGGUUAGUGUUGGAGCUAGGGUUAGGGUUGGGCUUGGAGCUAGGAUUUUUCUGAGUGCAAUGAACCAACUCCCGAGUCUCUAGGACGUUCCUAAAAAAAUUUGAUUUUUUCCCAUAGGAAUGCAUGGAUUAGGGUUAGGGUUAGGGUUGGAGCUAGGGUUAGGGUUAGGGUUAGGGUUGGAGUUAGGGUUAGUGUUGGAGCUAGGGUUAGGGUUGGGCUUGGAGCUAGGAUUUUUCUGAGUGCAAUGAACCAACUCCCGAGUCUCUAGGACGUUCCUAAAAAAAUUUGAUUUUUUCCCAUAGGAAUGCAUGGGUUAGGGUUAGGGUUAGGGUUGGAGCUAGGGUUAGGGUUAGGGUUAGGGUUGGAGUUAGGGUUAGUGUUGGAGCUAGGGUUAGGGUUGGGCUUGGAGCUAGGAUUUUUCUGAGUGCACUGAACCAACUCCCGAGUCUCUAGGACAUUCCUAAAAAAAUUUGAUUUUUUCCCAUAGGAAUGCAUGGGUUAGGGUUAGGGUUAGGGUUGGAGCUAGGGUUAGGGUUAGGGUUAGGGUUGGAGUUAGGGUUAGUGUUGGAGCUAGGGUUAGGGUUGGGCUUGGAGCUAGGAUUUUUCUGAGUGCACUGAACCAACUCCCGAGUCUCUAGGACAUUCCUAAAAAAAUUUGAUUUUUUCCCAUAGGAAUGCAUGGGUUAGGGUUAGGGUUAGGGUUGGAGCUAGGGUUAGGGUUAGGGUUAGGGUUGGAGUUAGGGUUAGUGUUGGAGCUAGGGUUAGGGUUGGGCUUGGAGCUAGGAUUUUUCUGAGUGCAAUGAACCAACCCCCGAGUCUCUAGGACGUCCCAAAAAAAAUUUGAUUUUUUCCCAUAGGAAUGCAUGGGUUAGGGUUAUGGUAAGGGUUAGGGUUGGAGCUAGGGUUAGGGUUAGGGUUAGGGUUGGAGUUAGGGUUAGUGUUGGAGCUAGGGUUAGGGUUGGGCUUGGAGCUAGGAUUUUUCUGAGUGCAAUGAACCAACUCCCGAGUCUCUAGGACAUUCCUAAAAAAAUUUGAUUUUUUCCCAUAGGAAUGCAUGGGUUAGGGUUAGGGUUAGGGUUGGAGCUAGGGUUAGGGUUAGGGUUAGGGUUGGAGUUAGGGUUAGUGUUGGAGCUAGGGUUAGGGUUGGGCUUGGAGCUAGGAUUUUUCUGAGUGCAAUGAACCAACUCCCGAGUCUCUUGGACGUUCCUAAAAAAAUUUGAUUUUUUCCCAUAGGAAUGCAUGGGUUAGGGUUAGGGUUAGGGUUGGAGCUAGGGUUAGGGUUAGGGUUAGGGUUGGAGUUAGGGUUAGUGUUGGAGCUAGGGUUAGGGUUGGGCUUGGAGCUAGGAUUUUUCUGAGUGCAAUGAACCAACUCCCGAGUCUCUAGGACGUUCCUAAAAAAAUUUGAUUUUUUCCCAUAGGAAUGCAUGGGUUAGGGUUAGGGUUAGGGUUGGAGCUAGGGUUAGGGUUAGGGUUAGGGUUGGAGUUAAGGUUAGUGUUGGAGCUAGGGUUAGGGUUGGGCUUGGAGCUAGGAUUUUUCUGAGUGCAAUGAACCAACUCCCGAGUCUCUAGGACGUUCCUAAAAAAAUUUGAUUUUUUCCCAUAGGAAUGCAUGGGUUAGGGUUAUGGUUAGGGUUAGGGUUGGAGCUAGGGUUAGGGUUAGGGUUAGGGUUGGAGUUAGGGUUAGUGUUGGAGCUAGGGUUAGGGUUGGGCUUGGAGCUAGGAUUUUUCUGAGUGCAAUGAACCAACCCCCGAGUCUCUAGGACGUUCCUAAAAAAAUUUGAUUUUUUCCCAUAGGAAUGCAUGGGUUAGGGUUAUGGUUAGGGUUAGGGUUGGAGCUAGGGUUAGGGUUAGGGUUAGGGUUGGAGUUAGGGUUAGUGUUGGAGCUAGGGUUAGGGUUGGGCUUGGAGCUAGGAUUUUUCUGAGUGCAAUGAACCAACUCCCGAGUCUCUAGGACGUUCCUAAAAAAAUUUGAUUUUUUCCCAUAGGAAUGCAUGGGUUAGGGUUAGGGUUAGGGUUGGAGCUAGGGUUAGGGUUAGGGUUAGGGUUGGAGUUAGGGUUAGUGUUGGAGCUAGGGUUAGGGUUGGGCUUGGAGCUAGGAUUUUUCUGAGUGCACUGAACCAACUCCCGAGUCUCUAGGACAUUCCUAAAAAAAUUUGAUUUUUUCCCAUAGGAAUGCAUGGGUUAGGGUUAGGGUUAGGGUUGGAGCUAGGGUUAGGGUUAGGGUUAGGGUUGGAGUUAGGGUUAGUGUUGGAGCUAGGGUUAGGGUUGGGCUUGGAGCUAGGAUUUUUCUGAGUGCACUGAACCAACUCCCGAGUCUCUAGGACAUUCCUAAUAAAAUUUGAUUUUUUCCAAUAGGAAUGCAUGGGUUAGGGUUAGGGUUAGGGUUGGAGCUAGGGUUAGGGUUAGGGUUAGGGUUGGAGUUAGGGUUAGUGUUGGAGCUAGGGUUAGGGUUGGGCUUGGAGCUAGGAUUUUUCUGAGUGCACUGAACCAACUCCCGAGUCUCUAGGACAUUCCUAAAAAAAUUUGAUUUUUUCCCAUAGGAAUGCAUGGGUUAGGGUUAUGGUUAGGGUUAGGGUUGGAGCUAGGGUUAGGGUUAGGGUUAGGGUUGGAGUUAGGGUUAGUGUUGGAGCUAGGGUUAGGGUUGGGCUUGGAGCUAAGGAUUUUUCUGAGUGCAAUGAACCAACUCCCGAGUCUCUUGGACGUUCCUAAAAAAAUUUGAUUUUUUUCCAUAGGAAUGCAUGGGUUAGGGUUAGGGUUAGGGUUGGAGCUAGGGUUAGGGUUAGGGUUAGGGUUGGAGUUAGGGUUAGUGUUGGAGCUAGGGUUAGGGUUGGGCUUGGAGCUAGGAUUUUUCUGAGUGCACUGAACCAACUCCCGAGUCUCUAGGACAUUCCUAAAAAAAUUUGAUUUUUUCCCAUAGGAAUGCAUGGGUUAGGGUUAGGGUUAGGGUUGGAGCUAGGGUUAGGGUUAGGGUUAGGGUUGGAGUUAGGGUUAGUGUUGGAGCUAGGGUUAGGGUUGGGCUUGGAGCUAGGAUUUUUCUGAGUGCACUGAACCAACUCUCGAGUCUCUAGGACAUUCCUAAAAAAAUUUGAUUUUUUCCCAUAGGAAUGCAUGGGUUAGGGUUAUGGUUAGGGUUAGGGUUGGAGCUAGGGUUAGGGUUAGGGUUAGGGUUGGAGUUAGGGUUAGUGUUGGAGCUAGGGUUAGGGUUGGGCUUGGAGCUAGGAUUUUUCUGAGUGCAAUGAACCAACUCCCGAGUCUCUUGGACGUUCCUAAAAAAAUUUGAUUUUUUCCCAUAGGAAUGCAUGGGUUAGGGUUAGGGUUAGGGUUGGAGCUAGGGUUAGGGUUAGGGUUAGGGUUGGAGUUAGGGUUAGUGUUGGAGCUAGGGUUAGGGUUGGGCUUGGAGCUAGGAUUUUUCUGAGUGCACUGAACCAACUCCCGAGUCUCUGGGACAUUCCUAAAAAAAUUUGAUUUUUUCCCAUAGGAAUGCAUGGGUUAGGGUUAGGGUUAGGCUUGGAGCUAGGGUUAGGGUUAGGGUUAGGGUUGGAGUUAGGGUUAGUGUUGGAGCUAGGGUUAGGGUUGGGCUUGGAGCUAGGAUUUUUCUGAGUGCACUGAACCAACUCCCGAGUCUCUAGGACAUUCCUAAAAAAAUUUGAUUUUUUUCCCAUAGGAAUGCAUGGGUUAGGGUUAGGGUUAGGGUUAGGGUUGGAGCUAGGGUUAGGGUUAGGGUUAGGGUUGGAGUUAGGGUUAGUGUUGGAGCUAGGGUUAGGGUUGGGCUUGGAGCUAGGAUUUUUCUGAGUGCACUGAACCAACUCCCGAGUCUCUAGGACAUUCCUAAAAAAAUUGAUUUUUUCCCAUAGGAAUGCAUGGGUUAGGGUUAUGGUUAGGGUUAGGGUUGGAGCUAGGGUUAGGGUUAGGGUUAGGGUUGGAGUUAGGGUUAGUGUUGGAGCUAGGGUUAGGGUUGGGCUUGGAGCUAGGAUUUUUCUGAGUGCACUGAACCAACUCCCGAGUCUCUAGGACGUUCCUAAAAAAAAUUUAAUUUUUUCCCAUAGGAAUGCAUGGGUUAGGGUUAGGGUUAGGGUUGGAGCUAGGGUUAGGGUUAGGGUUAGGGUUGGAGUUAGGGUUAGUGUUGGAGCUAGGGUUAGGGUUGGGCUUGGAGCUAGGAUUUUUCUGAGUGCAAUGAACCAACUCCCGAGUCUCUAGGACGUUCCUAAAAAAAUUUGAUUUUUUCCCAUAGGAAUGCAUGGGUUAGGGUUAGGGUUAGGGUUGGAGCUAGGGUUAGGGUUAGGGUUAGGGUUGGAGUUAAGGUUAGUGUUGGAGCUAGGGUUAGGGUUGGGCUUGGAGCUAGGAUUUUUCUGAGUGCACUGAACCAACUCCCGAGUCUCUAGGACGUUCCUAAAAAAAUUUGAUUUUUUCCCAUAGGAAUGCAUGGGUUAGGGUUAUGGUUAGGGUUAGGGUUGGAGCUAGGGUUAGGGUUAGGGUUAGGGUUGGAGUUAGGGUUAGUGUUGGAGCUAGGGUUAGGGUUGGGCUUGGAGCUAGGAUUUUUCUGAGUGCAAUGAACCAACCCCCGAGUCUCUAGGACGUUCCUAAAAAAAUCUGAUUUUUUCCCAUAGGAAUGCAUGGGUUAGGGUUAUGGUUAGGGUUAGGGUUGGAGCUAGGGUUAGGGUUAGGGUUAGGGAUGGAGUUAGGGUUAGUGUUGGAGCUAGGGUUAGGGUUGGGCUUGGAGCUAGGAUUUUUCUGAGUGCAAUGAACCAACUCCCGAGUCUCUAGGACGUUCCUAAAAAAAUUUGAUUUUUUCCCAUAGGAAUGCAUGGAUUAGGGUUAGGGUUAGGGUUGGAGCUAGGGUUAGGGUUAGGGUUAGGGUUGGAGUUAGGGUUAGUGUUGGAGCUAGGGUUAGGGUUGGGCUUGGAGCUAGGAUUUUUCUGAGUGCAAUGAACCAACUCCCGAGUCUCUAGGACGUUCCUAAAAAAAUUUGAUUUUUUCCCAUAGGAAUGCAUGGGUUAGGGUUAGGGUUAGGGUUGGAGCUAGGGUUAGGGUUAGGGUUAGGGUUGGAGUUAGGGUUAGUGUUGGAGCUAGGGUUAGGGUUGGGCUUGGAGCUAGGAUUUUUCUGAGUGCACUGAACCAACUCCCGAGUCUCUAGGACAUUCCUAAAAAAAUUUGAUUUUUUCCCAUAGGAAUGCAUGGGUUAGGGUUAGGGUUAGGGUUGGAGCUAGGGUUAGGGUUAGGGUUAGGGUUGGAGUUAGGGUUAGUGUUGGAGCUAGGGUUAGGGUUGGGCUUGGAGCUAGGAUUUUUCUGAGUGCACUGAACCAACUCCCGAGUCUCUAGGACAUUCCUAAAAAAAUUUGAUUUUUUCCCAUAGGAAUGCAUGGGUUAGGGUUAUGGUUAGGGUUAGGGUUGGAGCUAGGGUUAGGGUUAGGGUUAGGGUUGGAGUUAGGGUUAGUGUUGGAGCUAGGGUUAGGGUUGGGCUUGGAGCUAGGAUUUUUCUGAGUGCACUGAACCAACUCCCGAGUCUCUAGGACAUUCCUAAAAAAAUUUGAUUUUUUCCCAUAGGAAUGCAUGGGUUAGGGUUAGGGUUAGGGUUGGAGCUAGGGUUAGGGUUAGGGUUAGGGUUGGAGUUAGGGUUAGUGUUGGAGCUAGGGUAAGGGUUGGGCUUGGAGCUAGGAUUUUUCUGAGUGCAAUGAACCAACUCCCGAGUCUCUUGGACGUUCCUAAAAAAAUUGAUUUUUUCCCAUAGGAAUGCAUGGGUUAGGGUUAGGGUUAGGGUUGGAGCUAGGGUUAGGGUUAGGGUUUGGGUUGGAGUUAGGGUUAGUGUUGGAGCUAGGGUUAGGGUUGGGCUUGGAGCUAGGAUUUUUCUGAGUGCAAUGAACCAACUCCCGAGUCUCUAGGACGUUCCUAAAAAAAUUUGAUUUUUUCCCAUAGGAAUGCAUGGGUUAGGGUUAGGGUUAGGGUUAGGGUUGGAGCUAGGGUUAGGGUUAGGGUUAGGGUUAGGGUUGGAGUUAGGGUUAGUGUUGGAGCUAGGGUUAGGGUUGGGCUUGGAGCUAGGAUUUUUCUGAGUGCAAUGAACCAACUCCCGAGUCUCUAGGACGUUCCUAAAAAAAUUUGAUUUUUUCCCAUAGGAAUGCAUGGGUUAGGGUUAUGGUUAGGGUUAGGGUUGGAGCUAGGGUUAGGGUUAGGGUUAGGGUUGGAGUUAGGGUUAGUGUUGGAGCUAAGGUUAGGGUUGGGCUUGGAGCUAGGAUUUUUCUGAGUGCAAUGAACCAACUCCCGAGUCUCUAGGACGUUCCUAAAAAAAUUUGAUUUUUUCCCAUAGGAAUGCAUGGGUUAGGGUUAGGGUUAGGGUUGGAGCUAGGGUUAGGGUUAGGGUUAGGGUUGGAGUUAGGGUUAGUGUUGGAGCUAGGGUUAGGGUUGGGCUUGGAGCUAGGAUUUUUCUGAGUGCACUGAACCAACUCCCGAGUCUCUAGGACAUUCCUAAAAAAUUUGAUUUUUUUCCCAUAGGAAUGCAUGGGUUAGGGUUAGGGUUAGGGUUAGGGUUGGAGCUAGGGUUAGGGUUAGGGUUAGGGUUGGAGUUAGGGUUAGUGUUGGAGCUAGGGUUAGGGUUGGGCUUGGAGCUAGGAUUUUUCUGAGUGCACUGAACCAACUCCCGAGUCUCUAGGACAUUCCUAAAAAAAAUUGAUUUUUUCCCAUAGGAAUGCAUGGGUUAGGGUUAUGGUUAGGGUUAGGGUUGGAGCUAGGGUUAGGGUUAGGGUUAGGGUUGGAGUUAGGGUUAGUGUUGGAGCUAGGGUUAGGGUUGGGCUUGGAGCUAGGAUUUUUCUGAGUGCAAUGAACCAACUCCCGAGUCUCUUGGACGUUCCUAAAAAAAUUUGAUUUUUUCCCAUAGGAAUGCAUGGGUUAGGGUUAGGGUUAGGGUUGGAGCUAGGGUUAGGGUUAGGGUUGGAGUUAGGGUUAGUGUUGGAGCUAGGGUUAGGGUUGGGCUUGGAGCUAGGAUUUUUCUGAGUGCAAUGAACCAACUCCCGAGUCUCUAGGACGUUCCAAAAAAAUUUGAUUUUUUCCCAUAGGAAUGCAUGGGUUAGGGUUAGGGUUAGGGUUGGAGCUAGGGUUAGGGUUAGGGUUAGGGUUGGAGUUAAGGUUAGUGUUGGAGCUAGGGUUAGGGUUGGGCUUGGAGCUAGGAUUUUUCUGAGUGCACUGAACCAACUCCCGAGUCUCUAGGACGUUCCUAAAAAAAUUUGAUUUUUUCCCAUAGGAAUGCAUGGGUUAGGGUUAUGGUUAGGGUUAGGGUUGGAGCUAGGGUUAGGGUUAGGGUUAGGGUUGGAGUUAGGGUUAGUGUUGGAGCUAGGGUUAGGGUUGGGCUUGGAGCUAGGAUUUUUCUGAGUGCAAUGAACCAACCCCCGAGUCUCUAGGACGUUCCUAAAAAAAUCUGAUUUUUUCCCAUAGGAAUGCAUGGGUUAGGGUUAUGGUUAGGGUUAGGGUUGGAGCUAGGGUUAGGGUUAGGGUUAGGGAUGGAGUUAGGGUUAGUGUUGGAGCUAGGGUUAGGGUUGGGCUUGGAGCUAGGAUUUUUCUGAGUGCAAUGAACCAACUCCCGAGUCUCUAGGACGUUCCUAAAAAAAUUUGAUUUUUUCCCAUAGGAAUGCAUGGGUUAGGGUUAUGGUUAGGGUUAGGGUUGGAGCUAGGGUUAGGGUUAGGGUUGGAGUUAGGGUUAGUGUUGGAGCUAGGGUUAGGGUUGGGCUUGGAGCUAGGAUUUUUCUGAGUGCAAUGAACCAACUCCCGAGUCUCUAGGACGUUCCUAAAAAAAUUUGAUUUUUUCCCAUAGGAAUGCAUGGGUUAGGGUUAGGGUUAGGGUUAGGGUUGGAGCUAGGGUUAGGGUUAGGGUUAGGGUUGGAGUUAGGGUUAGUGUUGGAGCUAGGGUUAGGGUUGGGCUUGGAGCUAGGAUUUUUCUGAGUGCACUGAACCAACUCCCGAGUCUCUAGGACAUUCCUAAAAAAAUUUGAUUUUUUCCCAUAGGAAUGCAUGGGUUAGGGUUAUGGUUAGGGUUAGGGUUGGAGCUAGGGUUAGGGUUAGGGUUAGGGUUGGAGUUAGGGUUAGUGUUGGAGCUAGGGUUAGGGUUGGGCUUGGAGCUAGGAUUUUUCUGAGUGCACUGAACCAACUCCCGAGUCUCUAGGACAUUCCUAAAAAAAUUUGAUUUUUUCCCAUAGGAAUGCAUGGGUUAGGGUUAUGGUUAGGGUUAGGGUUGGAGCUAGGGUUAGGGUUAGGGUUAGGGUUGGAGUUAGGGUUAGUGUUGGAGCUAGGGUUAGGGUUGGGCUUGGAGCUAGGAUUUUUCUGAGUGCACUGAACCAACUCCCGAGUCUCUAGGACAUUCCUAAAAAAAUUUGAUUUUUUCCCAUAGGAAUGCAUGGGUUAGGGUUAUGGUUAGGGUUAGGGUUGGAGCUAGGGUUAGGGUUAGGGUUAGGGUUGGAGUUAGGGUUAGUGUUGGAGCUAGGGUAAGGGUUGGGCUUGGAGCUAGGAUUUUUCUGAGUGCAAUGAACCAACUCCCGAGUCUCUUGGACGUUCCUAAAAAAAUUGAUUUUUUCCCAUAGGAAUGCAUGGGUUAGGGUUAGGGUUAGGGUUGGAGCUAGGGUUAGGGUUAGGGUUUGGGUUGGAGUUAGGGUUAGUGUUGGAGCUAGGGUUAGGGUUGGGCUUGGAGCUAGGAUUUUUCUGAGUGCAAUGAACCAACUCCCGAGUCUCUAGGACGUUCCUAAAAAAAUUUGAUUUUUUCCCAUAGGAAUGCAUGGGUUAGGGUUAGGGUUAGGGUUGGAGCUAGGGUUAGGGUUAGGGUUAGGGUUGGAGUUAAGAUUAGUGUUGGAGCUAGGGUUAGGGUUGGGCUUGGAGCUAGGAUUUUUCUGAGUGCAAUGAACCAACUCCCGAGUCUCUAGGACGUUCCUAAAAAAAUUUGAUUUUUUCCCAUAGGAAUGCAUGGGUUAGGGUUAUGGUUAGGGUUAGGGUUGGAGCUAGGGUUAGGGUUAGGGUUAGGGUUGGAGUUAGGGUUAGUGUUGGAGCUAAGGUUAGGGUUGGGCUUGGAGCUAGGAUUUUUCUGAGUGCAAUGAACCAACUCCCGAGUCUCUAGGACGUUCCUAAAAAAAUUUGAUUUUUUCCCAUAGGAAUGCAUGGGUUAGGGUUAGGGUUAGGGUUAGGGUUGGAGCUAGGGUUAGGGUUAGGGUUAGGGUUGGAGUUAGGGUUAGUGUUGGAGCUAGGGUUAGGGUUGGGCUUGGAGCUAGGAUUUUUCUGAGUGCACUGAACCAACUCCCGAGUCUCUAGGACAUUCCUAAAAAAAUUUGAUUUUUUCCCAUAGGAAUGCAUGGGUUAGGGUUAUGGUUAGGGUUGGAGCUAGGGUUAGGGUUAGGGUUAGGGUUGGAGUUAGGGUUAGUGUUGGAGCUAGGGUUAGGGUUGGGCUUGGAGCUAGGAUUUUUCUGAGUGCAAUGAACCAACUCCCGAGUCUCUUGGACGUUCCUAAAAAAAUUUGAUUUUUUCCCAUAGGAAUGCAUGGGUUAGGGUUAGGGUUAGGGUUGGAGCUAGGGUUAGGGUUAGGGUUAGGGUUGGAGUUAGGGUUAGUGUUGGAGCUAGGGUUAGGGUUGGGCUUGGAGCUAGGAUUUUUCUGAGUGCAAUGAACCAACUCCCGAGUCUCUAGGACGUUCCUAAAAAAUUUGAUUUUUUCCCAUAGGAAUGCAUGGGUUAGGGUUAUGGUUAGGGUUAGGGUUGGAGCUAGGGUUAGGGUUAGGGUUAGGGUUGGAGUUAGGGUUAGUGUUGGAGCUAGGGUUAGGGUUGGGCUUGGAGCUAGGAUUUUUCUGAGUGCAAUGAACCAACUCCCGAGUCUCUAGGACGUUCCAAAAAAAAUUUGAUUUUUUCCCAUAGGAAUGCAUGGGUUAGGGUUAUGGUUAGGGUUAGGGUUGGAGCUAGGGUUAGGGUUAGGGUUAGGGUUGGAGUUAGGGUUAGUGUUGGAGCUAGGGUUAGGGUUGGGCUUGGAGCUAGGAUUUUUCUGAGUGCAAUGAACCAACUCCCGAGUCUCUUGGACGUUCCUAAAAAAAUUUGAUUUUUUCCCAUAGGAAUGCAUGGGUUAGGGUUAGGGUUAGGGUUGGAGCUAGGGUUAGGGUUAGGGUUAGGGUUGGAGUUAGGGUUAGUGUUGGAGCUAGGGUUAGGGUUGGGCUUGGAGCUAGGAUUUUUCUGAGUGCACUGAACCAACUCCCGAGUCUCUAGGACAUUCCUAAAAAAAUUUGAUUUUUUCCCAUAGGAAUGCAUGGGUUAGGGUUAUGGUUAGGGUUAGGGUUGGAGCUAGGGUUAGGGUUAGGGUUAGGGUUGGAGUUAGGGUUAGUGUUGGAGCUAGGGUAAGGGUUGGGCUUGGAGCUAGGAUUUUUCUGAGUGCAAUGAACCAACUCCCGAGUCUCUUGGACGUUCCUAAAAAAAUUGAUUUUUUCCCAUAGGAAUGCAUGGGUUAGGGUUAGGGUUAGGGUUGGAGCUAGGGUUAGGGUUAGGGUUUGGGUUGGAGUUAGGGUUAGUGUUGGAGCUAGGGUUAGGGUUGGGCUUGGAGCUAGGAUUUUUCUGAGUGCAAUGAACCAACUCCCGAGUCUCUAGGACGUUCCUAAAAAAAUUUGAUUUUUUUCCCAUAGGAAUGCAUGGGUUAGGGUUAGGGUUAGGGUUGGAGCUAGGGUUAGGGUUAGGGUUAGGGUUGGAGAUAAGGUUAGUGUUGGAGCUAGGGUUAGGGUUGGGCUUGGAGCUAGGAUUUUUCUGAGUGCAAUGAACCAACUCCCGAGUCUCUAGGACGUUCCUAAAAAAUUUGAUUUUUUCCCAUAGGAAUGCAUGGGUUAGGGUUAUGGUUAGGGUUAGGGUUGGAGCUAGGGUUAGGGUUAGGGUUAGGGUUGGAGUUAGGGUUAGUGUUGGAGCUAGGGUUAGGGUUGGGCUUGGAGCUAGGAUUUUUCUGAGUGCAAUGAACCAACUCCCGAGUCUCUAGGACGUUCCUAAAAAAAUUUGAUUUUUUCCCAUUGGGAAUGCAUGGGUUAGGGUUAUGGUUAGGGUUAGGGUUGGAGCUAGGGUUAGGGUUAGGGUUAGGGUUGGAGUUAGGGUUAGUGUUGGAGCUAGGGUUAGGGUUGGGCUUGGAGCUAGGAUUUUUCUAAGUGCAAUGAACCAACUCCCGAGUCUCUAGGACGUUCCUAAAAAAAAUUGAUUUUUUCCCAUAGGAAUGCAUGGGUUAGGGUUAGGGUUAGGGUUGGAGCUAGGGUUAGGGUUAGGGUUAGGGUUGGAGUUAGGGUUAGUGUUGGAGCUAGGGUUAGGGUUGGGCUUGGAGCUAGGAUUUUUCUGAGUGCAAUGAACCAACUCCCGAGUCUCUAGGACGUUCCUAAAACAAUUUGAUUUUUUCCCAUAGGAAUGCAUGGGUUAGGGUUAGGGUUAGGGUUGGAGCUAGGGUUAGGGUUAGGGUUAGGGUUGGAGUUAGGGUUAGUGUUGGAGCUAGGGUUAGGGUUGGGCUUGGAGCUAGGAUUUUUCUGAGUGCAAUGAACCAACUCCCGAGUCUCUAGGACGUUCCUAAAAAAAAUUUGAUUUUUUCCCAUAGGAAUGCAUGGGUUAGGGUUAGGGUUAGGGUUGGAGCUAGGGUUAGGGUUAGGGUUGGAGUUAGGGUUAGUGUUGGAGCUAGGGUUAGGGUUGGGCUUGGAGCUAGGAUUUUUCUGAGUGCAAUGAACCAACUCCCGAGUCUCUAGGACGUUCCUAAAAAAAUUUGAUUUUUUCCCAUAGGAAUGCAUGGGUUAGGGUUAUGGUUAGGGUUGGAGCUAGGGUUAGGGUUAGGGUUAGGGUUGGAGUUAGGGUUAGUGUUGGAGCUAGGGUUAGGGUUGGGCUUGGAGCUAGGAUUUUUCUGAGUGCAAUGAACCAACUCCCGAGUCUCUAGGACGUUCCUAAAAAAAUUUUAUUUUUUUCCCAUAGGAAUGCAUGGGUUAGGGUUAGGGUUAGGGUUGGAGCUAGGGUUAGGGUUAGGGUUAGGGUUGGAGUUAGGGUUAGUGUUGGAGCUAGGGUAAGGUUUGGGCUUGGAGCUAGGAUUUUUCUGAGUGCAAUGAACCAACUCCCGAGUCUCUAGGACGUUCCUAAAAAAAUUUGAUUCUUUCCCAUAGGAAUGCAUGGGUUAGGGUUAGGGUUAGGGUUGGAGCUAGGGUUAGGGUUAGGGUUAGGGUUGGAGUUAGGGUUAGUGUUGGAGCUAGGGUUAGGGUUGGGCUUGGAGCUAGGAUUUUUCUGAGUGCAAUGAACCAACUCCCGAGUCUCUAGGAUGUUCCUAAAAAAAUUUGAUUUUUUCCCAUAGGAAUGCAUGGGUUAGGGUUAGGGUUAGGGUUGGAGCUAGGGUUAGGGUUAGGGUUAGGGUUGGAGUUAGGGUUAGUGUUGGAGCUAGGGUUAGGGUUGGGCUUGGAGCUAGGAUUUUUCUGAGUGCAAUGAACCAACUCCCCUGUCUCUAGGAUGUUCCUAAAAAAAUUUGAUUUUUUCCCAUAGGAAUGCAUGGGUUAGGGUUAGGGUUAGGGUUGGAGCUAGGGUUAGGGUUAGGGUUGGUGCUAGGGUUAGGGUUAGGGUUAAACAAAUGUUUUUAAAAAACAGCUGAUCAAAACAGAGGGUAUUUUUAACCCAAAGCAGACAUCUAUCCCCUCAUUUUAAGUGGCAUUAAACAAUGCAGUUAUGGUAGAAAUUGAUUUAAGUAGGUUUUUUAAUUGCCUGCUAACGGCCAGGCUUUGUGAGUUGUUUCAGAUAUGAAGUGAUUAACUCUGAUUGGUCAGUGUUAUUUUGCUUCAAAUUUUUUGCUCCUCCUGGCUUCCUUUUUAAGUUGAAAAUAUUACCUUAUCAUAUAGUUGAAAUGUACAGAAAGAGAUGUGUGCAUGACAUAAAAAUACAAUCCAUAGUUUAUAAAAGCUUGUAUAAAAAAAUACGCCAGUAGGCCAUCUCAUCUACCCACCACCUUAGCCUGCAUGUCUGAAAGUUAGUUUCGGACCCUAGUGAUAGUUUAUCCCUGAUUGUUAUGUCUGCUUUUGUAGGUCAUACCAAGGCAUCAAUGUUAAUUUGAGUGUUUCAAAACAAAGCUAAAACUCCUUACUGAAGCUUUAACAGUGGGUCCCUAAGGCUUUGUUAUUGUUGUUAUCUGCCUGAUGCCUUAAAACAACAUCAAACUAUUAUAGGUGAAGGCAGAAAACUUAAAAAAUGAGAUUAUUUUUUGAAGGUCCAUAAUGAUGAGUCACUUAUUUAUCACAUUUAAAUUUCUUAAUGCCAUUUAACCCUCAUGGAAAUAUUAACUGCAUCUAUUUCAACUCAGCAGCAAUCAUUUCAUCUGUUCGGUUUACGUCUUCUCAGGUCUGACUGACUGCAAAAAUAGCAGCAUUCAAAACUAAAGAGAUAAAAACUAUUUUAUCUUUUUGAGACUCUGAGAGGUCGCAGAGAAACCAACUCCAGUUUGAAGGAAUCACACACUCAGGCGUUUCAUGUUUCCUCUCAAGACUCCACCACCAAAGUACUUUCAGAUCCAGGACAAACAUGACUGCUAGUGCUGAUGCUGAUGAUGUAGACAGCUGUAAUGAUGAUAGUUAUUUUCAUCACACACCCCAUUAUCAAGGCUGCAGGGCUGUAAGGUCAACUCCUCCACCAUCAGAGCUCCACACACGCAUCUUAAGAUGCCAUGAAAUGACCAGAGCGUGUCAUCCCACCGCCCUGCUAACCAAUGAAGUUUACCCUCGCUUCACAGCUUCCUCAUCACACCACGCUCCGUCAGCCGGGCCAACACUCUCUACAGCCUGACCACUUGAAAUUGCAGUUUCCACCACUAGAGAUGUGACUCAGAAAGUGUCAGUCUUAACAGCCAAUAUGACAAGGAGCUGACUUUAAGGGCUGGAGCUUAUCCUCCAGUCAUGCGCCACACUAAAAAGUCAGACUCCAGCUCUGACUUUCCUGUUCUGUGGAUACACUGUGUGGUUCUGCUUCCUCCCCCCUCUAUAAUAAAACUCAUUAUGUAUCCAGUCAGUUGCUGAAUUCAAAUCACCUCACAGAGCGACACGCUGUGUGGUGAAUAAAGUCAGAAGUCACCUCAUGCCAAAUGAGGGGACGCUCUCGUGGCUGAUGGAAACGCUUUCUCUGCCAUCUGUCUGCAGUCCUUGCCACCAGUUCUGGCGCAGCAGAGCAAAUAAAUAGAGGCAUCCUCAGACAUCUCAUCACUCUAACCUGGCAACACGAAUUUGAAUCCAUCAUCUCUGAACAGACACUAUGAUUUCUGGCUGCUGAGCAGUUUAUUUUUGUUGUUGGGUAUUUUAGAAUUAGACCUUAUUUUGGUGAACAGAUGGCAGACUAAAUCCUGUUGAAUCCCAGUCUUGAAAAUGUCAUUUAGACAGAGCCCAGAACUCUCCUGAACUGUGACUUCUGGAAUCUAUUGAUCACAGAAAUGUGGAUUUAUUUAAUCCUCAUUUUUCACUGACUUUACUGAUAAAUGGCAAAGAGAGGGGUUUUUUUUAUACACCAGGCUGAAAAGCAGAGUAUGACUCACCACUUUGGAGGAGAGUUUGGAGCUCAUUUCACCUCUGACUUCUUUCACUGACAGGUGUGUGAUAGGAGAGAGCUUUGUGUCACCUGUAACCGCACCAGUGAUGGAGCACAUCUGUUAUCACUAUCUGAAGGCUGAAUGAUGCUAAAUGAGGUUUUUAAAAAUAAGGAAAACUGCUAAUCUGAGCGCUUAUUCACAGAUUUUACACAUUGCUGAUCUGAACAUAUUACAAGUGGUUCAGAAAAUACAUGUGAAAAUCUCAACUGCUGCGAGACUUCGUUCUAUUAACUCAACUAACACUGGAAACUUGUAUUGUCCUUGUGUUAUUUGUUCAAGAAACAAGUUCCGGUAACACAUUACAAUAACCAUAACUUAUAAAUGGUAAAUAGACCAUUCAUAAACGGUAAGCUGAUAGUUUAUAAAUGUUUAAUUAUCAUUUAUAAAUAGCAUAUAGACCAUUCAUACAUUGUAAACUGUACAAUUUUAAAAACCUAAUCCUAACUUUACAAUAACCAUCUAAGUAAUGUUUAUAGGUGGUUUAUAAACCAUUUAAUUAUCAUUUACAAAGUAUUACAAACAUCAGUUGCAACUUUACAAUAACCGUCUAAGAAAUGUUCAUAGAUGGUUUAAAAACCAAGUAUUAACCAUUUACAAAGUGCUACUGACACACAUUUUAAUCUAGAUGUUUUACAACCAGUAUUUAAACCCUAUAUAAACCUUUAAUAUAUACUCCAUUAAUAAUUAAUGAAAAUGAUUAAUCAUAAUUUCAUUGCUUAAAGUAACUAUUACCUUACAUUAAUAAACUAUCUAUUUGCCAUUUAUGAUUGGUCUAUAUGCUGUUUUUCUUAAUGAUGAUUAAACAUUCAGUAACUAUCUAUUUACCAUUUAUAAAUUAUGGUUAUUGUAAAGUGGGCGGCACAGUGGUGUAGUGGUUAGUGCUGUUGCCGCACAUCAAGAAGGUCCUGGGUUCGAAUCUGGAUUAGGGUGUUUCUGUGUGGAGUUUGCAUGUUCUCCCUGUUACUGUGUGGGUUUACUCUGGUUACUCCGGUUUCCUUCCACAUCCCAAAACAUGCAGAAGUGGGGCUAGGUUGAUUGGCCACUUUCAAAUUGCACAUAGGUGUGAAUGUGAGCGUGGAUGGUUUUUUGUCUCUAUAUGUCAGCCCUGCGACUUGUCCAGGGUGUCCCCUGCCUUUGCCCGAAGAUGCUGGGAUAGGCUCCAGCAACCCCAGGAACGGGAUUAAGCAGUAGAAAAUGGAUGGAUCAAUUUAUUGUAAAGUGCUUCCCAAGUUCCUAACUUCCUAUAAGAGCUCACGAUGAAAAGUUAACAAGUCUAAAGUCAGAAACUAUUUUUUCCCGUCAUCAGUAUUUGUUAACUCAGAAUCUGAGCCUGAACAUGUUUGAGCCGGAGAGGACUCAAUCAAUAGAGACUGAUUUUGAAAUAUGGCUGCAGCACGGACUGAAAGCGAGCCUGCCCCAUCCUUUGAUAAUCCUCAGGGGGUUUAUGAGCAAAUCUGACGCUGAUUCUUGGUUAUCUCCGUCUUCCCGUCCUUUCGAUCCAGCCCUGCUAUUUAUCUGCCUAUCUGAGUGCUACACAUAAAUCGCUUUCAAACACCAGCAGCCUCAAAGAGCCAGACAGAGGGCUGCUUUUGAUCCCAGAUGUCAUUGAGACUUUUUUUUGCAGCUUUGGGGGUGGCAUUUUGAAGGCUAUGAAAGAGGAACAUAGCUUCGGUCAGCAGAUGGGGGAAAUGGGGGAAAUGUCACCGAUAAGCACUGACUCUCAGGAGUCUUAUGUAACACUGUACGUUACUGUCACCGGGGACGAAUUAUGACCUUAUAUAGAGAUUGCUGAGAUAGUUUAAGUCAAAAUAGAAAACACACAAUGAAGUGUCCUUGAGCGAAAGACUUUCCUUUUUUUAGCAGGUUUCUCCUCUGUAGUUCAACCAACAAGAGAUCCUCUUUCAUUUCCUCUGUUUGUUUUACAAAGUUUAUAGCCAGAAUCUGCAGUCUUUAGCUUUUCAUUCGUCAUGUAUUGCAAACUGCUGGUUUCAUGGGAGAUAUAUUUUUGGUAUCAUCAGGCCUGGUUGUUUAUAUACGAAAUGUUUAUCUUUAUUUUCUGUAAAAAACGAUGAACAUGUUGAUUUUCUCUCAUGGCUUUGGAAGCAAACAUCGAUUUGUUUGUGUGAUUCAUAAAUAUUAUGUUAAUUUUGUUUAUCUGUUAUUUUAUACAUGUGCUGCUCAAGACAGAGUGUACCCGAGUAAAAGGAGAUGAACACAAAAGCAGAGCUUAUAUAAGCAGGUUCAGUCACUGUUUCAUCUUUAUUGUGUUUUUAAAGGCUGAUUUAUUUGCCCAAUGCUUUCAAGUCUGCUGUAUCAAGUAGUCAUCCUUUCUCAGCUUUGGAAACAUUACCUCUUGUUCUGCUCAUAAAAGUCGAAAGUCCAUGCAACAAAUACUGGAGAUCAGAUAGAGGAAAUGCAACAGUGAAGAUGUAAAUCUAUACGGGAUAAGUGCAGCCGAAGAGCGAUGCUGUUUGUCUUGGUGAGCAUGCACAAGGUCAAAGGGUUUCCAUAAUGGGAGACCCGCACGGCUGAUUUACUGCAGCGCACACAAAUGAGGAGUGAUCACGCCUGAACCAUGAAGACUUGGAGUGUUUCCCAGCAUCUCUUCGAGCGCUCCUUCAGGCUGGGUCAUCCACCAGUUCCUCUGAGCUGUGACAUGCUCUCAAGCAGAAGUGUGGUCAGUUUUUUUUUUUUUUUUUUACUGCAAGAGUCACGGGGCCACUGUGGAGCGAAUGCAAUGAAAGGGGUAAUGUUAUGUACAGGCACAGAUUCAUCUGGACAACAGCGGAGAAAGGCCGUCUGUUUUUCUUGAUACAUCACACGCUCUGUCGUGACAUCCAAAUAAGAGAAGCUCAUACAUAUCACAUUAGAGCAGUCGCCUCUGGAGGCCCGUCCAGUUAUCUGGGUGAGCUCCUCUGGCGCCGAGUGAUGUCGAUUGGAAAUGAGAGUGCGUCGCCGGCUACUAGGCAACUGCAACUUAGCGCGAAUUAGCAACAAUGCAAGAUAAGUUCUCAAUCUCCACUAAUAUUAAUCAGCCUCAUCUUUGUUAUGUAAAUAUGGAGAUUGAAUUUGAAGGUAAUGAAGAGUGAGGCAGCUCCUUCUUCCUAAAGGAUGUGUUUCUUGAAUCUGACAUCAAAGCCAAACAGCUCUUUCAGCUGCCAAAGAAAAUUAAUGAUGCUUUUUUUAACGCUGUCACUCAAUCUUUUCGACAUGAUGACUCCGGAAAAACGCUCAAAAAACUGUGUUGGGCCUCACGCUGACUCACAUCAAUCCGAAGGAGAAAACAAUGCGAACGAUACAAAGCGAUGGAGAACAACAAAAGAUGUUCCAGUGUGGGUUUUCUCGAGGUGGUUGAGGGAGGCCUCGGUGUGUGGAUGUGGCAGAGAGGCAGAGUGUGGGCUUCUUUUCACACGUUUUCUCUCCACAGGCUCACAAGUGACAGCUGAGGAAAGACACCAAUGUGUCUCCUUCCCUCACCGUUAGCGUCCUCUGCCGCGGGCAAAUGUCAGUCAAAGACGUCAUCCUCGUGUUUGGCCUUUGAAUGCAUCAUCUGUAUCCCCUUCAUCUCCGGUCUCUUUGUUUGUUAAGUAUCAUCCUUUUUGAGUUGUUGUUCUGUUGCAUCAUAUUAUGCAAGAUUUAUGUUUCUUUGGGUUCAAGUUAUUUUGAUUUUUUUUAAUGAUUAGUCGACAGCGUUCACUAACAGGCCUUGUAAGUGCUUUCAGACACUAUUUUUACAGCACCAUCCAGUUAGGGGUGAUGGUAAAUGGUUUCACAGGGACGGGAAAGGAGGAGGGGGUUGUUAACCCUGUGUAGUAUGUUGACAUGCUGCAGGUGGUGGCCUGUUGAAUGUCCAGCUGAGCCAGGAAUGUGGAGGCCCUUUGGGUGCAAGCUGGGGAGGGUUUUCCUAAAGAGCAAAUGCAGCUACUAUGUGCGUAUUGAAAGGAUGACUAAGCUUUUAGAUAUUGUUUAGAGCAUUAAAGCACCAUAAAAGGCCUCAGAGCUUUCAACUGCAUGGUAAAAAUACUGCCUGGUCUUUGGGUCAUGAUGAGGGGUGUUUAGUUCAGUGACAGCCUGGGGAUUAGCAUAAUGGCAGCAAGCUAAGCUACACCAUCGGAGGACCCUUUCUCUUUAGGCCCUGGGGGUCUUCAACUGAUUUAUUGCUGUCCCCCCUGACUGCCUGCAUCUAUCUUUAGCUGUGCAGACUUUUAUGAGCUGGCUGAAGCGAAGGCUUGCUGUGGCACUGUUGUCAGUGCUCACCACAGACGCUGUGACUGACCUCCUCUGCGGCUCGUGCUUCCACAGGUUGUGCGGAGCUCAGUUUGCAGGGAACCCUGCAGAGAUUGGCAUGUGUCAGAGGAAUUCAGGGGUCUAGUAGCUGUUGUUUUUAAGACUCCUGACUGCUACUGUCUUCUAGCUUCCCAGCAGUGGAAUCUAGAUUUACUCAACUGCCAAAUUUAAGCACAAAGAGUUUCCACCUCAUCAUAAAUCAAUCCCCAUUAUGGUCAGUGGGGAUUUCGCUUAAUUUUUUAUUUAUUUGACUGCAAAUCUAACAUUCGAAGCAUUUGAUGAUAAUAGCGAUGAAAUGUCAUACAUUCACUUUCUUCAAAGUGUGUCAAAUAGAGCUGAAAUGAUUACUGAUUGCAGAGCUGCCAAGCAUCACGCUUCGAGUGUGACAGUCAUGCAAUUUUAUCCAUUCUCACACCACUCGCCACACUUGACUUUUCUCAUGCUUAUUUUCCCCAUUCAAUACUCUGUAUUUAUUUUUUUCAUGAUAAUAAACUUCGUAGUUUGAGUAACUCUGAUUGACUGACCAAGAUAAUCAAUCCCAGAACAAUCCAUCAGUCCUUUGUGCCUAAUGCUGCGUUCGAGUUACCUCGGAAGUCAGAUGUCGGAACUGAAAAUGACGUCAUACCCAAGUUACCAGCGUUCCAGUUACCAAGUCAGAAAAAUGAAAAAUCGAAGGCCUGACACAAGGUAGCUACGACUACAAAAGUUACCUUAGUGCUUGCCUUAUAUCUGGACAAGGCAAGCGCUAAAAACACUUUUGUAGAUGUAGCCAUCUUAUUACUGCCUUCUCUUUUGCUUUUUUCUGACUUUGUAACUGAAACGCUGAGGGUUUUUUGGGGUCUUGGCGUCUCUAACCAUCUUUCACACACAACAGUGUCGACAUUUAAAACCCAAAAUUCUUGUUACAAUUUUUAUUUCUAAUUUCUGGAUCUUAAUUAAGAUCAGGGAGAGCAGCUGGCACGGAGGUGAGGACAUCAGUCUCAGUAUAAAUCAACGUUAAAAACGGCAAAAAAAAAAUUUGUUGCAUGGCUGAACACAUCAUAACGCAAAAGUGUCACUCUUGUAAUUUUCUGAAACUUGGCAGCCCUGUGAUUGGCAGGAACUGAACCAAUACUGAUAGAACUCUAAAUCUAUUCUUACCCAGUUAUGUUUGAAGGAAAACAUAUGAUCAGUAUAAUCCAUUAGAUGCAGCCUUUUGGCCCCUCACCCCAGUCCUAAUUGUGAGGAAAUGGCUCCAUGCUGACCUAUGAAAACAGUUAUAUGCAGCUUACUCAUAGAUGCAUCAUCAUCAGCGCCUCAUAGAGGUCAUUAAUGCGCAUAAACUCUCAGUUUUGAUUCCGACCGAAGUAUAAGAUCUAAAUUUAACUUAUGAUCAAACCUUUUUUUAUGCUAAUCACAGAAAAAGCUGGAGGUUGUUAACGGCUGAUGAUGCAGUGCUUGAGUAAUAAGAGGAAAUCUCUGCUUUUAAGCUCAGGUUAGGUCACUGUUGGAUUAAUAACUACACUGAAAAUACACUCUGGCAGCUUUGAAGUGGGGGAUAAAACGUUUUCAGUGGCAGACAAAACCUUUUACCUCACUGAAGUGGUGCGACAAUUGCUUUAAGCCCCGCGAUUGGUCAGAACAUCAGCACUCCUCCUUUUCAUUGACUGACUACAAUACACAGAGUGACGGAAGAUAAUUGGACCAUGUUUGUUCAACUGUGAUGUUGGUAUAGUAUUAGUAAACUUAAAUUAGCUUCAGUUUGAUCAUUUCUAUUGAUAUGAAGUUUGUCUUUUUACUAAUCGUAUCAGUGAGCAGUACAGGCUGGAUGAAAGUAAUAGUGUUUAGUCUAGAUAUUCUUAUCUAGAAUCUCAACCAGUAAGUGAAAAACUUUUAAAAUUAAUAAACUUUUGUUUCCCAAGUUUUUACUUGUUGUUCUUUAAAUAUCUUUCCUUGUUUAAACUACUUUAAUAUUUAUUUUUUUCUCUCAUUACUAUUCCAUGUUUAGUUGUUGUGUAUAUGUCCCUUAGUGUAAAUGUUUCCCCACUGUCUCUUUGCAAGUUAUUAAACCUAGAGUUUCAAUGACAUUUUCAAUGCCUGCCUUUUAUUUUGAUGGGGGAGGGGAAACAUACAGACUAAUUUACAGUUUGUAAACUAUGAUGCUGUACUGGACUUAAGGGUUAUGGGCUUUUGACCAAUCAGAAUAAAGUAUUUUGGUAAUACUAUAUGUUUUAAUCGAUGUGAAUGUUCUUUUUACAUUUACAAUCAUGUAUAGUUUUAGGAUCACUUAACCAUUCGGGCAUGUUAUUGAUGAAGAUAAAACACUUUUUGUAGGUCCAGAGUCCCUCAAGUAAACUCAUCAAUCUUAUCACAUUUAUCAGAAGAGGAACAACAACAACAAGAAAAAGAAAAUAUUUAUUGAUCCCCUAAAGAGAAAUUCAAUACUUUAUUACUAUUUUUGUUAAACAGUUGUGAAAAUUUCACCCUAAAACAGUCUGCAUGCUUAGCUCAUCUAGCAAUGAACAUUAUAAAUCAUGUUGGUUUAUAAAUGCUGUAAUGCAUGACAUUGCUUUGCAUGUAUCCCCAUUUUGUAUCCCCAAGUAGUAGUGCAACUUUUCUUCAAAAGAUGUCACAACUCCAAAUAACUUAGAGUUAAUAAGGGCCAAGCAAACACAACAGAUCUGAGGUUUCCUCUAUAGAAUCAAUAGCUGUACGGGAAAGCUUUGUGCACACUCACAGAUUUAUCUCCCCCAAACACAAGUCUGGCACACAGCCUCCAUAUGGUGUGUUUUACACUGUGGGAGGAACGUGCUUUCUCAAACUUGCUUCCAUUAAACACAUUCCUCUCAAACAGCCUGAUAACGGCAUGCUAGCAGGUCCCAGCUCUCUAGUUAUGUGACUCAUCACUCAGGUGUGUUUACAGCUUAUUACACAAAAAGAAGCAGAAGAGCUCCUCCGGAGACAUAUUACCACGUUUGGAACUGGAAAAAAAAAAAGCCAAAUCGACACGUCCUCUCACAAAGUUAGUUAUUCAGCGCAAAUGUGUCACGGGUGAUGACCUUUCAAAACAUGAGCUUUUGCUAGCACAAACAUGCGGGUAAAGCAGCAGGGACCGAGAGAACGAGGCUGUGUUUACGCAUGUGUUAGACUGAGAAGUGGGGUCAUUUCAUCUCCCACAGAACCAACAAUUACAUCCCACCUCAAGCAGUAUAUGAGUUUGUUGCUUUAGUGCAGCUGGGGAGGAAAGACGGCUAUUUGUUGUCUGAGAGGCUGAGAGAUGAGAGGGAUUCUCCACAGCUUACAUAACCUGUCUCUCUCCAUUCAAAGCAGGAAGGCCUUUGUCCAUUACGCCAGAUGGAUAUCAACCCUUAUUUAUUACUGAUAUGAACACUAGAUUUGACGCAAAGCAGCAAAAACAACCAGAAAACCUAACUGCAAAGAACAGAUAUCUACUUUUACACUCUAAGUUAGAAAACAUCACAUUCCUCAGUGCAAGUAAAAUAAACACACCCAGGAAGAAAAAAGAGAAGUGCAGACUUUUUUAGUCAUGACAACAUUACAGCUGUUGAGUUACUGCACCUUGAUGGCACAGUGUUAGACAGCUGUGAACGGCUGCGGUGUGAAAAGAGACGCCUCUAUUCCACCUGAGAAAUUAGCACAGGGGUUGGUGGAGAAUAGCAGAGUCUCAAUUUCCUCCAUGAAAUGAGUUGAUAUAUGAGAGAUCUGGAGAGGAUUUGGUGAAAUGACAAGCAGAGAAAUAACAUCACGAAACAAUAGCUGUCUUUUUUUCUACUCGGGGUGUUAACUCAAACACCUCAGAGCCUUUUUUUCAUGAUCUGAUGACAUUAAAGUGAAAAAAAAACCUCUCCUGUCUUUCAGUUUACAAAACAGAAAUUGUACAGCCGAACCCAGCAGGGGGGAGUGUUUGCUUUCUACCCUGUCUCUGCCUUCCCUGUCCUCUUUCUAACAUUUCUCUUUUACAGUUUUUUUUCUUUCUCUCUCUCUUCCCAUGAGGAUAAGCUGGGCGGUGACAGAUGUAAUGGAAGAGGCUGGUUCUUGGAUUUUGUAGCAAUCUGUCGAGCCUCUCUGGAGGUUCACAGGCUGAACUUGACAAAACACGACUAAGGGCUGCCCACUUGAUAACCCUAGUGAUGUUUUGGCUUUUGCUGCUCGUCUAUACUCAUGUUCAGAGUGUGGAGGAGGAGCCUAUGUGGUUGGGUAGGUCCUAACAGCUUUGUCAGUUCCUGGAGCUCCGAGAAGGUGGGGAGGUGUGGCCACAGACUUGUACCUUAAAGGGAUAUUCCGAGGUAAAAUUAAGUUAGCGUCAAACACACCGUAACACCAAGUUAGACACCCCCUCGAGAGAUGAAUGUUGCCGACUGCUUGCUUAUAGUUAUACCAACUUUUGUAACGACCGUACGAUAGCAAUAUACAGCGGUCUCAGGAGCCACACGCUCAACCAAAAUGCCACUCUAUAGCCACAAAUAAUGCUCAGAACAGCACCUAACUUCAUCAACAGUACAUACAGGGUCCCAGCCAUAGCACUACCCACCAAACAUCUUUUUAUCUUUGCCUGAUUUCUUUAGCAAAGAGACUAAACACAACUCACCCACUCUCUUCCAGCAGCCACUUGUUUGUAUGGAGACCUCAGACAAGUCCAUUACAGACUGCCGAGUGGGGUGACGCAGCUCAAGGAAGAACAUAUAUGAUCAUUACUUUGUCAUUUCCUUAAAGCUAUAAUCACCAUAUUUAUCAUUUUGUACUGCAGACACGGUAGUUCUUCUGCCUACUAGAGAAACAAGCAGUCAGCAACAUUCGUCUCUUGACGGGUGUCUAACUUGGUGUUAUGGUGUGUUUGAUCCUAACUUAAUUUUACCCCGUAAUAUCCCUUUAAUGUCUGACUGUGUGUGUAUGUAGAGCUGUGUAUUUACAAGCUGUUUCUCUUGCACUUAUGCAAUAACAUAAUGCAAAUUGAAAUCUACUUAUUAAUGAAUGAAUUAAGCCAAGUUACAUUUCCAAAACAGCAUGUCUUAAUUUGAAGUCUUUAUUGUGUCUGUAACAAUUUUUCUUCACAGAUACAUGUCGUUAUAUUGAUAACUGAGAUUGUCAAUUUGCCACAGCUUUCUUUCUUUGUUAUGAGCUCUCUGGGCUACCGUACGUGACUGUGGUCGUUAACAAUGUUUCUCACACAGCACACCUGGAAGAUGACGGCAAAGCAGCAUUCCAGGCUAUGACCCCUGACCUUCUGUUCACCUCACAGACACAUGUCUUGUAAGUGUAACACAUUCAGGGGCUUUUUUUCACCCUCACUGUCAGCUCGUCUUUGGAUCACAGUGCAGCACUUUCAUUCUGGCUCUUCAGUCUAAGCAGCCCAAAAAUGCUGAAAGACUGGGCCCACUGACCGAUUUUUGGCUUGUUGAUGGAUUGAAAUCGACAGCAAAUUUGUAAAAAUGUAAAAGAUAUAAAGGCUUUUUAAAUGGAUUGUCUAAUUGUUUUGACUGGUGGUUGGAAAGAAAUCUAGAGAUCUAUUGAGAGGCGAAGCAAAUCGUACUGGUUGGAUAACAAAGACGAGGAGAGUGGGUGAAAGGAUUUGUUGUAAAAGAAAUUUCUGAUCAUUAAAACUUGACAAAUGAAGGAUCACUUUUCAUGCAUCAUAGCAGCUUGUUUUAUUUGAAGGCCACUGUCACUUCACUGACAGGAAAGUGAGCAGGAGAGCGUUUCAAUCCAGGAACUGUCAGCUUCUUCCUGUUAAAUGCAACUUUAAAUCAAAGAGAAGCUGAUGGGAGCAAUAAAAACUAAGAUACUUUAAAGGACACAUCACAUUGGGGGUCUUGCUCCAACCUGCCUGAAUACCAUUCUGCUAGAAUAAUAUCCUCACCAUACAUCAUCCCUGUAAUACUCAGCUGCUGUCUUUGUAGGUUAUAUUUUCAGGCUUUUAUGCUUUUACUCAAAGUUAACUAGACGGUGGAGCGAGCAGGAAACCAGGUGAGAGGGUGAAAAUUAAUAUCCUGAAAGAAUCUGCAGAUUAGAAUCAGAGCCUGGUCACCUGCUUGGAAACAGCCUCUGUGCAAUAUUACUCUACUACUUGGCCGUAACAGUGCUUCAAUAGUUUGCUGUUAAAUACUCAAUCCUGAUUGGUCAAACUCCACUAAAACUGUGAUUAAUUCUUAAUUAACAAAAACAACAUCAGGACAACAUCCAUCUUAAUAAUUCAAUAUGCUGACCACAGAUGGCACAGAUCCUGAGGGGCUGCAGGGUCCUAGCAAUCUCUGAAACGUAGAGCAAGAUCCUGUCCUGCAAUCCAGGCAAUGGCAGCAGAGCCAAUGAGUGCAUUUCCAACUUGCAAACCACCUGUUCUGUUAACGAAAUCCCUCACUUGCUGUUUUACUUCAGUUUUUUGAAUGCAAGUCUGACAUGCAAGUUUGUGCUGUUUCAGAGGAGAGAAAGAAAACAUAACCUUUACACAUACUGCCUAACUUACAGUUGUUCUUUAACUUGCCUCAACAGUUAUAAAAGUUAAACUACAAACAAACCAAAUGUACAAAUAUGCUAAAAGUGCUUCAAAUUAUCAAGAGUGGGUUGUAGGACUCAUUAGAAUAGGAUAGUAUUUCUGCAGGUUUGUUACGUGACACAUUCUCUAAACUGAGAAACCAAUAGUGGCCAUGGUCAUCCUAAAUCCUAAACCAUGAUUGGCUAUUUGUUUAUCAGAGGAGGCCCUGCUUCAACAAGCUGCAAGUAUCUCCUGAUGUUCACAACACCUGGUCACCCAAAGGAAGUCAGCGCCCCAUUUUUGCCUCCUUGUCUCCACCUCAAACUUUAAACCGAAAGACUCAAGAAAAGAUUCAUCAAGAGUGAAUUAAUUGUAUGUCACGGCCGGGAUAUUGUUAGAAAAAAAGUUGAAAUACACCCACCCUAACCAUCUGAUUUUGACCGACUAAUGUAGGGAGGAAGGAAGUAUCAUUACUGCGUUUGCUAAGUCAAUUUCCUGAGCUCUUCUUCUAUCCGUCUCCAGUGUGAGCUGUGUGAUGAAUCUACAGCUCUGGAUAUGAUAUCAUGUUACAAUGUGAGACUACAUCGAUGUGAUGUGAAGUCUGUGUAUUGAUACCGCUGCUCAAGCGCAGGAUUAGCUGUGAGUUUUUUUUAUGAGACCGGAGAGGCUCAGAAAUAGAUUGCCUCUGGCCAAAAGCACUCACUCUCUCUCUCUCUCUCUUUCGUCCCUGUGCUGCCUCUCGGUCUUGCACCUCCCAGCACUCAUUCACAGCUCUCUUGGGACGGCAGGCCCAGGCAGGCGGCCAGCUGGUGAUGUCUCACUGGGACGGCGGCAGAGAAAAGGAGAGCACAGUCAGAUGUGGUAUCAAAGACAUCAGGGGCUCAAGGGUGGACGGUCUCCAGAGGCAUUGCGACAUACCUCCCCUGUUACUGCACUUACAGAAGCCCCCCUCUCAGGUUUCCAUAAGGGUCAUGCUUGUGUCUGCUGUGAUUGUAGCUUUAUGAAUGGUUACAUAAAUCUUCGUAUUCAAACCUGUGCGUGGGUGAUAAUGAUGCGCAAACAUAUGUCUGGGUAUACCCAAGAUACCUUUCUCUGUUUCUUCACUCUCUCUCUUUCUCUCUCUCUGUGAGUGUAUUACAGGAAAACAGUGACUAAUGUCUGCCCUCUUCUCUUCCGUAAGCUGAUAUGUCCCUAAGGCGAAUGAGAGAAGGCACCAGCCUUUUUCUCUGCCCAAAGAUGCUUCAGAGGCACUGCAAAGACCGCACAUGAACCUCUCAGGAUGGCUCACAUGGACUUCCACGAUCGUGAACUUAAUCGCGCACGUGAACGUCCACUCUUCUGUGCACUCAGAGCGUCUAUCUCUGAAUGCCGUAAGGUUAACUUGGCGCCCAUUACCUAACCCGCAACAUCCAGGGGAGAUGACCCGUGUAGUGCUCAGACAACGCAGGCUGAAACUGGUAGUGCAGCAUUACUCACUCUGAGUAAACAUGGGAAUAGUAACAGGAGUGAAACACAUUCAAACCGAAUGAUGCUCACAUAGCCAUGGUGAUGACGUUAUUAGUGUGUAUAGGGACAAGCAUUGAUAAGGGGUAUUGAAAACAUAGGCUCAUUUUAAUGCAAAACUAAUUGGGGAUGUUCUGGGUCUUCUUAUCCAAACGCAUGAAUGCCCUUUCCUUGAGCGUGAGUACUGCUUUUUUAGGUUGAACAUACUCUCUGUGGUCAUGGACAGGGUCUCAGAAGGUGACACUUAAUUUACCACUCUCAUAAUGGGCGCAGUGUCUGCUGCAUACAUAAUUAAUCAAUCACUGUUUUCCACAUUGAUAACAGCACGACCCCGGCCCUCACCUCGUCUUUGAAUACUGAUUGCCGCUUACAAUUACUGCGGGGCAUGUAGCUUAGAGACUCAGACACAAGAGGUAGUGUUUCAUUCGAGGAACCAAAACAAUCCUCAGCUGAUAAGGCUAGAGAAGAGUUAGCACGAGCCUCACAACCAGGUAUCACAACAGUACAGAUACAUUAAAGUAUCUUAAACUCUCCAAACAUACCUUCACAAACGCAUU